AAUGAACKCUGGCGGCGUGCCUAACACAUGCAAGUCGANCGANAAAGUUCCUUCGGGAAUGAGUAGAGUGGCGCACGGGUGAGUAACGCGUGGGUAAUCUGCCCUUGGAUUUGGGAUAACUUCGCGAAAGUGGAGCUAAUACCGGAUAGUCUGGCUUUGUAAAAGGAGUCGGUAAAGGAUGCCUCUGCAUAUGCAUUCGUCCGAGGAUGAGCCCGCGUCUCAUUAGCUAGUUGGUAGGGUAACGGCCUACCNAGGCGACGAUGAGUAGCUGGUCUGAGAGGAUGAUCAGCCACACUGGGACUGAAACACGGCCCAGACUCCUGCGGGAGGCAGCAGUGGGGAAUAUUGCGCAAUGGGCGAAAGCCUGACGCAGCAACGCCGUGUGAGGGAUGAAGGUUUUCGGAUCGUAAACCUCUGUCAGAAGGGAAGAAGUGGUGCGGGUCCAACAGGCCCGUAUCUUGACGGUACCUUCAAAGGAAGCACCGGCUAACUCCGUGCCAGCAGCCGCGGUAAUACGGAGGGUGCAAGCGUUAUUCGGAAUUACUGGGCGUAAAGCGCACGUAGGCGGCCUUGUAAGUCAGGUGUGAAAUCCCACGGCUCAACCGUGGAACUGCACUUGAAACUGCGGGGCUCGAAUCCUGGAGAGGGCGGCGGAAUUCCUGGUGUAGGAGUGAAAUCCGUAGAUAUCAGGAGGAACACCGGUGGCGAAGGCGGCCGCCUGGACAGGUAUUGACGCUGAGGUGCGAAAGUGUGGGGAGCAAACAGGAUUAGAUACCCUGGUAGUCCACACCGUAAACGAUGGAUACUARGUGUCGGGGACUUGAUCCUCGGUGCCGCAGUUAACGCGUUAAGUAUCCCGCCUGGGGARUACGGUCGCAAGGCUGAAACUCAAAGAAAUUGACGGGGGCCCGCACAAGCGGUGGAGUAUGUGGUUUAAUUCGAUGCAACGCGAAGAACCUUACCUGGGCUUGACAUCCUGGGAAUUCCGCAGAGAUGCGGAAGUGCCCUUCGGGGAAUCCAGAGACWGGUGCUGCAUGGCUGUCGUCAGCUCGUGCCGUGAGGUGUUGGGUUAAGUCCVGCAACGAGCGCAACCCCUAUCCUCAGUUGCCAGCAGGUAAAGCUGGGCACUCUGUGGAGACUGCCCGGGUUAACCGGGAGGAAGGUGGGGACGACGUCAAGUCAUCAUGGCCCUUACGCCCAGGGCUACACACGUACUACAAUGGUGGGCACAAAGGGCAGCGAAACCGCGARGUCCAGCCAAUCCCAAAAAACCCAUCAUAGUCCGGAUUGCAGUCUGCAACUCGACUGCAUGAAGUUGGAAUCGCUAGUAAUCCCGGAUCAGCAUGCCGGGGUGAAUACGUUCCCGGGCCUUGUACACACCGCCCGUCACACCACGAAAGUCGGUUCUACCCGAAGCCGCCAGGCUAACCCGCAAGGGAUGCAGGCGUCUACGGUAGGGCUGGUAAUUGGGGUGA
rnacentral:rRNA from 1 species